rnacentral:rRNA from 1 species
CCGGCGAUGUCCGAAUGGGGAAACCCAGUGCAAUUCGUUGCACUAUCGUUAACUGAAUACAUAGGUUAACGAGGCGAACCGGGGGAACUGAAACAUCUAAGUACCCCGAGGAAAAGAAAUCAACCGAGAUUCCCCCAGUAGCGGCGAGCGAACGGGGAGCAGCCCAGAGUCUGAAUCAGCUUGUGUGUUAGUGGAACGGUCUGGAAAGUCCGACGGUACAGGGUGAUAGUCCCGUACACCAAAAUGCACAGGCUGUGAACUCGAAGAGUAGGGCGGGACACGUGGUAUCCUGUCUGAAUAUGGGGGGACCAUCCUCCAAGGCUAAAUACUCCUGACUGACCGAUAGUGAACCAGUACCGUGAGGGAAAGGCGAAAAGAACCCCGGCGAGGGGAGUGAAAAAGAACCUGAAACCGUGUACGUACAAGCAGUGGGAGCACCUUCGGGUGUGACUGCGUACCUUUUGUAUAAUGGGUCAGCGACUUAUAUUCUGUAGCAAGGUUAACCGUAUAGGGGAGCCGCAGGGAAACCGAGUCUUAACUGGGCGUUAAGUUGCAGGGUAUAGACCCGAAACCCGGUGAUCUAGCCAUGGGCAGGUUGAAGGUUGGGUAACACUAACUGGAGGACCGAACCGACUAAUGUUGAAAAAUUAGCGGAUGACUUGUGGCUGGGGGUGAAAGGCCAAUCAAACCGGGAGAUAGCUGGUUCUCCCCGAAAGCUAUUUAGGUAGCGCCUCGUGAACUCAUCUUCGGGGGUAGAGCACUGUUUCGGCUAGGGGGUCAUCCCGACUUACCAACCCGAUGCAAACUACGAAUACCGAAGAAUGUUAUCACGGGAGACACACGGCGGGUGCUAACGUCCGUCGUGAAGAGGGAAACAACCCAGACCGCCAGCUAAGGUCCCAAAGUCAUGGUUAAGUGGGAAACGAUGUGGGAAGGCACAGACAGCCAGGAUGUUGGCUUAGAAGCAGCCAUCAUUUAAAGAAAGCGUAAUAGCUCACUGGUCGAGUCGGCCUGCGCGGAAGAUGUAACGGGGCUAAACCAUGCACCGAAGCUGCGGCAGCGACACUAUGUGUUGUUGGGUAGGGGAGCGUUCUGUAAGCCUGCGAAGGUGACCUGUGAGGGUUGCUGGAGGUAUCAGAAGUGCGAAUGCUGACAUAAGUAACGAUAAAGCGGGUGAAAAGCCCGCUCGCCGGAAGACCAAGGGUUCCUGUCCAACGUUAAUCGGGGCAGGGUGAGUCGACCCCUAAGGCGAGGCCGAAAGGCGUAGUCGAUGGGAAACAGGUUAAUAUUCCUGUACUUGGUGUUACUGCGAAGGGGGGACGGAGAAGGCUAUGUUAGCCGGGCGACGGUUGUCCCGGUUUAAGCAUGUAGGCUGGUUAUCCAGGCAAAUCCGGAUAAUCAAGGCUGAGGUGUGAUGACGAGGCACUACGGUGCUGAAGUAACAAAUGCCCUGCUUCCAGGAAAAGCCUCUAAGCAUCAGGUAACAUCAAAUCGUACCCCAAACCGACACAGGUGGUCAGGUAGAGAAUACCAAGGCGCUUGAGAGAACUCGGGUGAAGGAACUAGGCAAAAUGGUGCCGUAACUUCGGGAGAAGGCACGCUGGUGUGUAGGUGAAGUCCCUGCGGAUGGAGCUGAGACCAGUCGAAGAUACCAGCUGGCUGCAACUGUUUAUUAAAAACACAGCACUGUGCAAACACGAAAGUGGACGUAUACGGUGUGACGCCUGCCCGGUGCCGGAAGGUUAAUUGAUGGGGUUAUCCGUAAGGAGAAGCUCUUGAUCGAAGCCCCGGUAAACGGCGGCCGUAACUAUAACGGUCCUAAGGUAGCGAAAUUCCUUGUCGGGUAAGUUCCGACCUGCACGAAUGGCGUAAUGAUGGCCAGGCUGUCUCCACCCGAGACUCAGUGAAAUUGAACUCGCUGUGAAGAUGCAGUGUACCCGCGGCAAGACGGAAAGACCCCGUGAACCUUUACUAUAGCUUGACACUGAACAUUGAGCCUUGAUGUGUAGGAUAGGUGGGAGGCUUUGAAGCGUGGACGCCAGUCUGCGUGGAGCCAACCUUGAAAUACCACCCUUUAAUGUUUGAUGUUCUAACGUUGGCCCCUUACCGGGGUUGCGGACAGUGUCUGGUGGGUAGUUUGACUGGGGCGGUCUCCUCCCAAAGCGUAACGGAGGAGCACGAAGGUUAGCUAAUCCUGGUCGGACAUCAGGAGGUUAGUGCAAUGGCAUAAGCUAGCUUGACUGCGAGCGUGACGGCGCGAGCAGGUGCGAAAGCAGGUCAUAGUGAUCCGGUGGUUCUGAAUGGAAGGGCCAUCGCUCAACGGAUAAAAGGUACUCCGGGGAUAACAGGCUGAUACCGCCCAAGAGUUCAUAUCGACGGCGGUGUUUGGCACCUCGAUGUCGGCUCAUCACAUCCUGGGGCUGAAGUAGGUCCCAAGGGUAUGGCUGUUCGCCAUUUAAAGUGGUACGCGAGCUGGGUUUAGAACGUCGUGAGACAGUUCGGUCCCUAUCUGCCGUGGGCGCUGGAGAAUUGAGGGGGGCUGCUCCUAGUACGAGAGGACCGGAGUGGACGCAUCACUGGUGUUCGGGUUGUCAUGCCAAUGGCACUGCCCGGUAGCUAAAUGCGGAAGAGAUAAGUGCUGAAAGCAUCUAAGCACGAAACUUGCCCCGAGAUGAGUUCUCCCUGAGACUUUAAGUCUCCUGAAGGAACGUUAAAGACGAUGACGUUGAUAGGCCGGGUGUGUAAGCGCAGCGAUGCGUUGAGCUAACCGGUACUAAUGAACCGUGAGGCUUAACCUUACAACGCCGAAG